rnacentral:rRNA from 1 species
CACCGCCUUUUCACGGCGGUAACAACCCAUGCCGAACACAGAAGUUAAGCCCUAGAACGCCGGAAGUAGUUGGGGGUUGCCCCCUGUGAGAUAGGGAAGUCGCUUAGCU